ACGAACGCUGGCGGCGUGCCUAAUACAUGCAAGUCGAGCGAAGUUUUUCUGGUGCUUGCACUAGAAAAACUUAGCGGCGAACGGGUGAGUAACACGUAAAGAACCUGCCUCAUAGACUGGGACAACUAUUGGAAACGAUAGCUAAUACCGGAUAACGGUAUUUCUCGCAUGAGAGAUAUUUAAAAGUUGGUUAUGCUAACACUAUGAGAUGGCUUUGCGGUGCAUUAGCUAGUUGGUGGGGUAAAGGCCCACCAAGGCGACGAUGCAUAGCCGACCUGAGAGGGUGAUCGGCCACACUGGGACUGAGACACGGCCCAGACUCCUACGGGAGGCAGCAGUAGGGAAUCUUCCGCAAUGGGCGAAAGCCUGACGGAGCAACGCCGCGUGAGUGAAGAAGGAUUUCGGUUCGUAAAGCUCUGUUGUUAGGGAAGAAUGGAUAUGUAGUAACUAUACAUGUAAGAGACGGUACCUAACCAGAAAGCCACGGCUAACUACGUG
rnacentral:rRNA from 1 species